rnacentral:misc_RNA from 1 species
UGCUUGAUUUCAGAUUUUUGAACGCAUCUGGCGCCGGCUGGGUCUCCAGCCGGCAUGCUUGUUUCAGUGUCUUGUUUUCUCCUCACCCAAAUCUUAAUGCGAGAGAUACCCUUCUCUUGUUAAGCAUGAAAGCACUCUGUGCUCUGCGGGCGGCUUUCCUGGCUUGUCUAGGGGUCGCACUCAAUGCAGUCGUCACAUUGUUUACAGUGUGAACUCGUUGAGAGUAGAGGCAGUAGCAGCAUUGCUGCCAGUGCUUAGCCACUUAAACUUUCCUUGCAUCUGAAAUCAAGCAGGAUCACCCGCUGAACUUAA